ACAAAUAAGGGAAUAUAUGCUGGCCACCUCAGCCAGGGAUGGCAACCCGCUGGGGUCUCCUUCCGCUGUGUGGAAGGGUUGUUUUUCUGCUCUUCGCAAUAAAUCUUGCUGCUGCUCAUUCUUUGGGUCGCCGCCGCCUUUUAUGAGUUGUAGCACUCACCGCGAAGGUCUGCAGCUUCACUCCUGAAGCCAGCUAGAGCCAGCGAGACCACGAACCCACUGGGAGGGAUGAACAACUCCGGACUCGCCACCUUUAUGAACUGUUAACACUCACAGCGAAGGUCUGCAGCUUCACUCCUGAAGCCAGCGAGACCACAAACCCACUAGGAGGAAUGCACAACUCCUGAUGCCCUGCCUUUAAAAGCUGUAACGGUCACUGCGAAGGUCUGCGGCUUCAUUCCUGAAGUCAGCGAAACCACGAACCCACCUGAAGGAAGAAACUCCGGACACAUCCGAACAUCAGAAGGAACAAACUCUGGACACACCAUCUUUAACUGUAACACUCACCACGAGGGUCCGCAGCUUCAUUCUUAAAGUCAGCGAGACCAAGAACCCACCAAUUCCGGACACGCAAGUAUUCGUAACACCACCUUAGAUAUUGCUGGCCAGCUCAUGAAUUGUGGCUUGUGGUCCAGCUAAUCUUUCCUAGUCUAUUCAGCUAUGGCCAGAGAAGAUGUGCUUAACUUGUGGAGCCUUACUGUUUCUCUAAGGACAUUCUUCUACAUAAUGUUGCGUCAGUAGAAUAAUUUUCUCACCAAGUGAUAGCUAGGUAGGUCAGUAAAUCCUCUCCUACACCGUAGUUAUUUGCUUUAAGCCAACUUGAAGUGAACUUCUGUCUCUUCUUUAAUCUGAGAAUCUUACGUCUUCAAGCCCUGUUCACACCGCUUGUCCCAUUAGAAUAAACCUUAUUUAAGGUAAGU
rnacentral:lncRNA from 1 species